rnacentral:rRNA from 1 species
GAUAAACGCUGGCGGCGUGCCUAACACAUGCAAGUCGAACGAAGCAUUUUAAAGGAAGUUUUCGGAUGGAAUUUAAGAUGACUGAGUGGCGGACGGGUGAGUAACGCGUGGAUAACCUGCCUUACACUGGGGGAUAACAGUUAGAAAUGGCUGCUAAUACCGCAUAAGCGCACAGUACUGCAUAGUACCGUGUGAAAAACUCCGGUGGUGUGAGAUGGAUCCGCGUCUGAUUAGUUAGUUGGCGGGGUAACGGCCCACCAAGACGACGAUCAGUAGCCGACCUGAGAGGGUGACCGGCCACAUUGGGACUGAGACACGGCCCAAACUCCUACGGGAGGCAGCAGUGGGGAAUAUUGCACAAUGGGGGAAACCCUGAUGCAGCGACGCCGCGUGAGUGAAGAAGUAUUUCGGUAUGUAAAGCUCUAUCAGCAGGGAAGAAGAUGACGGUACCUGACUAAGGAGCCCCGGCUAACUACGUGCCAGCAGCCGCGGUAAUACGUAGGGGGCAAGCGUUAUCCGGAUUUACUGGGUGUAAAGGGAGCGUAGACGGCGGAGCAAGUCUGAAGUGAAAGCCCGGGGCUCAACCCCGGGACUGCUUUGGAAACUGCUCUGCUAGAG